GUGGGGAAUAUUGGACAAUGGGCGAAAGCCUGAUCCAGCCAUGCCGCGUGUGUGAAGAAGGUCUUCGGAUUGUAAAGCACUUUAAGUUGGGAGGAAGGGCAUUAACCUAAUACGUUAGUGUUUUGACGUUACCAACAGAAUAAGCACCGGCUAACUUCGUGCCAGCAGCCGCGGUAAUACGAAGGGUGCAAGCGUUAAUCGGAAUUACUGGGCGUAAAGCGCGCGUAGGUGGUUUUGUAAGUUGGAGGUGAAAUCCCCGGGCUCAACCUGGGAACUGCCUCCAAAACUGCAUGACUAGAGUACGGUAGAGGGUAGUGGAAUUUCCUGUGUAGCGGUGAAAUGCGUAGAUAUAGGAAGGAACACCAGUGGCGAAGGCGACUACCUGGACUGAUACUGACACUGAGGUGCGAAAGCGUGGGGAGCAAACAGGAUUAGAUACCCCUGUAGUCC
rnacentral:rRNA from 1 species